rnacentral:lncRNA from 1 species
AUGGGAGGGCGAUCCUCACAAGUGCAUCUCUUGGGCCGGUGGGUGGUCCACAGGAAGCGUUCGAUGGUGUUAGCUAUGACUACUAUCACCACCACCACCACUACCGCCAUCACCACUUAUCACCACCACCACCACCACCACCACCUCUACCAUCACCACCAUUACCUCCACUAUCACCACCACCACCACCACCAUCACCACCAUCACCUCCAGCACCUCUACCAUCACCACCACCACUACCACUACCACCAUCACCACCUAUCGCCACCAUCACCAAACCACCAUCUCUACCAUCACCACCAUUACCUCCACUAUCACCACCACCACCACCACCAUUACCACCACCAUCACCUCCAGCACCUCUACCAUCACCACCACCACUACCACUACCACCAUCACCACCUAUCACCACCACCACCACCACCACCACCAUCUCUACCAUCACCACUAUUACCUCCACUAUCACCACCACCACCACCACCAUCACCACCAUCACCUCCAGCACCUCUACCAUCACCACCACCACUACCACUACCACCAUCACCACCUAUCGCCACCAUCACCAAACCACCAUCUCUACCAUCACCACCAUUACCUCCACUAUCACCACCACCACCACCACCAUUACCACCACCAUCACCUCCAGCACCUCUACCAUCACCACCACCACUACCACUACCACCAUCACCACCUGUCACCACCACCACCACCACCACCAUCUCUACCAUCACCACCAUUACCUCCACUAUCACCACCACCACCACCACCACCACCAUCAUCACCACCACUACCACCACCACCACCACCACCAUCACCACCACCACCACCACCGCCGCCAUCAACACCUAUCACCACCAUCACCAACACCACCACCUCUACCAUCACCACUAUUACCUCCACUAUCACCACCACAACCACCACCACCACCAUCACCACCAUCACCACCAUCACCACCAUCACCACCACCACCAACACCACCACCUCUACCAUCACCACUAUUACCUCCACUAUCACCACCACAACCACCACCACCACCAUCACCACCAUCACCACCAUCACCACCAUCACCACCACCACCAACACCACCACCUCUACCAUCACCACCAUUACCUCCACUAUCACCACCACAACCACCACCACCACCAUCACCACCAUCACCACCAUCACCACCACCACCAACACCACCACCUCUACCAUCACCACCAUUACCUCCACUAUCACCACCACAACCACCACCACCACCAUCACCACCAUCACCACCACCAUCACCUCCAGCACCUCUACCAUCACCACCAUCACCACCACUACCACCACCACCAUCACCACCUAUCACCACCACCACCAACACCACCACCUCUACCAUCACCACCAGCACCACCACCAUCACCACCACCACCACCUCUACUAUCACCACCACCACUACCAUCAUCACCACCUAUCACCACCAUCACCAACACCACCACCUCUACCAUCACCACCAUUACCUCCACUAUCACCACCAUCACUCCCGCCAUCACCACCACCACCACCAUCACCAUCACCAACACCACUACAUCUACCAUCACCAUCAUUAUCACCAACCACCACCACCACCACCUAUCACCACCAUCACCAAUACCACCAUGUCUACCAUCACCACCACCACCACCACCAUGA